rnacentral:rRNA from 1 species
GAGGAUCCGAGCGUUAUCCGGAUUUAUUGGGUUUAAAGGGAGCGUAGGCGGGCGCUUAAGUCAGUUGUGAAAGUUUGCGGCUCAACCGUAAAAUCGCAGUUGAUACUGGGCGCCUUGAGUGCGGCAGAGGCAGGCGGAAUUCGUGGUGUAGCGGUGAAAUGCUUAGAUAUCACGAAGAACUCCGAUUGCGAAGGCAGCCUGCUGGACCGUAACUGACGCUGAUGCGCGAAAGUGCGGGUAUCA